rnacentral:misc_RNA from 1 species
UCUAAGGAUGAUCCUUCAGAUCAGCUCACGCUAUCUAUCGGAUCGUUUUAGAAACAUUCAGGGGCCAACAGUUUCAGGAUUGUUGAGCUCCAUUGGCGGGAUUUCGCCGUCUUCGUUUCUCUUUCUUCGCGGACGAACACGCGCCAGGGGCUGAGCGCUGUGCGGUGCACCGACUAAGCGUCGCGUGCGCGCCGGCAUGUCUCUCGUGUUAGGGGCUUGUAGCUCAGUUGGUUAGAGCGCGCGCUUGAUAAGCGUGAGGUCGGAAGUUCAAGUCUUCCCAGGCCCACCAUUUUGAUCGAGUGCGGAGCAUUCGUCUUCUGGUACGGGGCCAUAGCUCAGCUGGGAGAGCGCGUGCUUUGCAAGCAUGAGGUCGUCGGUUCGAUCCCGUCUGGCUCCACCAGAUGGUUUGAUCACCAACGGCGUUACCGUCGUCCGCGAAACAUCACUUCGCACUCAUUGGUCCGGAUGGACGGUGACGUGCGUGUUUUCUGACAUCGUAAAGAGGAGAUCGAUCCGAGUUUGGAUCAAGCGAAGCAAUUCGUCUGAACCAUUCAUUAUCUCCGGGAUCAUUUCGGCGCUCGCGCAUCGCAGUUCAUCGCAAGAUGAGUGGGGUGAGCGGGUUGUAAAUGAUCUCUUUUAGCGAAGCUUGACCGCCUCGCUAUCGGGCCGAUCUUACGAAGCAAGCUGGUCUUUCUAGUCAAUGUCCGGCUGCGCAAUCGCAUUCAUCGAGGAUGCGUGCCUGGGACUUCGGUCUUCGGGCAGUUGCGCAGACAACAUUCUGCCGAGUGUGUGGACAUUGAUAAUGAGAGCAAUCAAGUGCCUUAAGGGUGUUCGGUGGAUGCCUUGGCGCUGAGAGGCGAUGAAGGACGUGCUACGCUGCGAUAAGCCGUGGGGAGCUGCGAAGAAGCUUUGAUCCGCGGAUUU